rnacentral:rRNA from 1 species
AAAACAUCGCCUUUUGAAAUCUAUAAAAGGUCCAGCCUGCCCAGUGACUCUGUUUAACGGCCGCGGUAUCCUGACCGUGCGAAGGUAGCGUAAUCACUUGUUCUCUAAAUAAGGACCAGUAUGAAUGGCAUCACGAGAAUUACACUGUCUCCUUUUUCUAAUCAGUGAAACUAAUCUCCCCGUGAAGAAGCGAGGACAUACCUAUAAGACGAGAAGACCCUGUGGAACUUAAAAUUAAGCAGAAAUUGAAUUAAACUCCAAUAUUACUGCAAACUUUCGGCUGGGGCGACCGCGGAGUAUAAACCACCCUCCGCAUUGAACGGAUUAACACCCUAAACAAAAACUACACCUUUAAGUAUCAGCAGACUGACAUCAAUUGACCCGAUACAUCGAUCAAUGAACCAAGCUACCCCAGGGAUAACAGCGCCAUCCACUUCGAGAGCUCAUAUCGACAAGUGGGCUUACGACCUCGAUGUUGGAUCAGGAUACCCCGGUGGUGUAGCCGCUACCAAAGGUUCGUUCGUUCAACGAUUAAAAUCCUA